UAAACGAAGUGUGUUAUUUUCUUCUAAUUCAAAAUCGAGUAGUUGUCCUGGAUUUUGGAAGGAUCUUCUGAAAUCAGCUGAUUAAUAAUAAGGAGAAGUAAACUACAAUAUUUCUGUUUUUAAUUUAAGCAAUUAAACUAAAUCCGCAAAAUGGCUGACAAAAAUAAAAUGAAUGCUGCUCAGCGCAAAGCCAAGGCAGAAGCAGAUAAACAGGUGCACGCCCACGUUAAAACUUUGGAUGAUCUUAAAAUGUGUUGCAAAAUCGCUGAUAAUGAGAGGAAAUUCUAUUUGGGAAAAUUACUUCAAAUAGAUAAACUUUGUAAGGCUCAUCCAAAUGAUCAUCCAGUAAUUCCUCGUGUCAUGCGUUUAGCAACUAAGGGUUUGUCAUAUUCUAAAGAUAAAGACGGUGGAACUGAACCAGGUUCAUCUGAUCAACAUUAGAAGCACUUUCAUAUUUUAAAGUUCCUGUUUUCUCUUUGUGAUGUAUUCUCUAAUUCAAAAAACAAACUUUACUUUGUGGACAAAAACGAAAACUACGGAACACUUCGGAGAAAAUGAUUGGAGGGGCUGCAAUAUGAAGACUAAAAAGGGUCUGGAACGUUCAACACAUUUACUCAUUUAUUUAAUUAUUCUUGUUGCAUUUUAACCUGUUAAGAUGUGAUCGAAUAAAUGAAAUCAUUUAACUUAA